rnacentral:rRNA from 1 species
AAGUCGUAACAAGGUUUCCGUAGGUGAGCCUGCGGAAGGAUCAUUAUCGAAAUAAACUUGAACAGGCUGUUGCUGGUUCCUUUCAGGAGGGGCAUGUGCACGCUUGUCAUCUUUAUCAUUUCUCCAACUGUGCACAUAACUGUAGACCUGGGGGCUUUCUUUUUGGAACUCGUUCCGAGUCGGGACUGCUGUGCUUCAUUCGAGAGGUCGGCUUUGCCCUUUGCAUUUUCCAGGUCUAUGUCAUUUAUUUCACAACCUCUGUGUAAAAUGGUUUAGAAUGGUUGAACAAUAUAAAAAGUUAAUACAACUUUCAGCAACGGAUCUCUUGGCUCUCGCAUCGAUGAAGAACGCAGCGAAAUGCGAUAAGUAAUGUGAAUUGCAGAAUUCAGUGAAUCAUCGAAUCUUUGAACGCAUCUUGCGCUCCUUGGUAUUCCGAGGAGCAUGCCUGUUUGAGUGUCAUUCGACUUGUCAACCGCAUCAAUUGCGAUGUGGCUUGGAUGUGGGGGUUUUUGCAGGCUCUCUUUCAUGAGGUCGGCUCCCCUGAAAUGUAUUAGUGGUAUCUGAGCAGAACUACUACCGUCAGGUGUGAUAAAUUAUCUAUGCCUUUGGGUAUGCUGCAUCAACAGAUUGUGCUGCUCAUAACGAAACAAUUGUUUGACGAAUUUGACCUCAAAUCAGGUAGGACUACCCGCUGAACUUAAGCAUAUCAAUAAGCGGAGGAAAAGAAACUAACAAGGAUUCCCCUAGUAACUGCGAGUGAAGCGGGAAAAGCUCAAAUUUGAAAUCUGGUGGUCCUUGACCGUCCGAGUUGUAAUCUAGAGAAGUGUUACCUGUGCUGGACCGUGUAAAAGUCUUCUGGAAUGAAGCAUCACAGAGGGUGAGAAUCCCGUCUUUGACAUGGACUGCCUGUACAUGAUGGUGCGCUCUCGAAGAGUCGAGUUGUUUGGGAAUGCAGCUCAAAAUGGGUGGUAAAUGCCAUCUAAAGCUAAAUAUUGGCGAGAGACCGAUAGCGAACAAGUACCGUGAGGGAAAGAUGAAAAGAACUUUGGAAAGAGAGUUAAACAGUACGUGAGAUUGCUGAAAGGGAAACGCUUGAAGUCAGUCGCGUCGGCUAGAAAUCAGCCUUGCUUUUGCUUGGUGUACUUUCUGGUUUUUGACGGGUCAGCAUCAAUUUUGACCACCGGAUAAAGUCGUUGGGAAUGUGGCAUCCUUGGAUGUGUUAUAGCCCGAGGUCGCAUACGGUGGUUGGGAUUGAGGAACUCAGCACGCCUGCAAGGGCCGGGUCUUUUUUGACCACGUUUUUCGUGCUUAGGAUGCUGGCAUAAUGGCUUUAAUCGACC